rnacentral:rRNA from 1 species
AGAAUGAACGCUGGCGGCGUGCUUAACACAUGCAAGUCGCACGAGAACUCUUCUGCUUGCAGAAGAUAGUAAAGUGGCGCACGGGUGAGUAACGCGUGGGUAAUCUACCUCUGAAUUGGGGAUAACAUUGUGAAAGCGAUGCUAAUACCGAAUAAUAUCCCGAGAACCUAGGUUUUUGGGAUCAAAGGUGGCCUCUACAUGUAAGCUACUGUUUAGAGAUGAGCCCGCGUACCAUUAGCUUGUUGGUAGGGUAAUGGCCUACCAAGGCAACGAUGGUUAGCUGGUCUGAGAGGAUGAUCAGCCACACUGGAACUGACACACAGUCCAGACUCCUACGGGAGGCAGCAGUGAGGAAUUUUGCGCAAUGGGGGAAACCCUGACGCAGCAACGCCGCGUGAGUGAUGAAGGCUUUCGAGUCGUAAAGCUCUGUCAAGUGAGAAGAACCUGUCCCGCGAUAAUACCGCGGGAUACUGACGGUAUCACUGAAGGAAGCACCGGCUAACUCCGUGCCAGCAGCCGCGGUAAUACGGGGGGUGCAAGCGUUAUUCGGAAUUAUUGGGCGUAAAGGGCGCGUAGGCGGUCUUUUAAGUCAGAUGUGAAAGCCCGGGGCUCAACCCCGGAAGAGCAUUUGAAACUAAUGGACUUGAGUAUGGGAGAGGGAAGUGGAAUUCCUGGUGUAGAGGUGAAAUUCGUAGAUAUCAGGAGGAACACCUGUGGCGAA